CAUCUUUGGUUAUCAAUAAAAUAAGUGUAACAAUGGUUUUCCCUGAAGCACAUUGCAUGGCCCGUUUGUUUACACCGAAAAUAGCAAAUUACUAUGAAGAGUAUUACAAGUCCAAAGGAGUAAAUUUUGUCAAAGGAACUGUCUUGUCAUCAUUUGAAAUUGACACCGAUGGGAAGGUCACAGCCGUUAUUCUUAAAGAUGGAACUCACCUGCCUGCUG